rnacentral:rRNA from 1 species
CCUACGGGUGGCAGCAGUCGAGAAUCAUUCACAAUGGGGGAAACCCUGAUGGGGCGACGCCGCGUGGGGGAAUGAAGGUCUGCGGAUUGUAAACCCCUGUCAUGUGGGAGCAAAUUAAAAAGAUAGUACCACAAGAGGAAGAGACGGCUAACUCUGGGCCAGCAGCCGCGGUAAUACAGAGGUCUCAAGCGUUGUUCGGAACAACUGGGCGUAAAGCGUGCGUAGGCUGUGUCGUAAGUCGUGUGUGAAAGGCGCGGGCUCAACCCGCGGACGGCACAUGAUACUUCGAGACUAGAGUAAUGGAGGGGGAACCGGAAUUCUCGGUGUAGCCGUGAAAUGCGUAGAUAUCGCGAGGAACACUCGUGGCGAAGGCGGGUUCCUGGACAUUAACUGACGCUGAGGCACGAAGGCCAGGGGAGCGAAAAGGAUUAGAUACCCGGGUAGUC